CGACACCUGUGACACGAGGAGGUAAAGCAAAUUCAGUGAAGCUACUAAACUGAUAUUUUAUAAACCCAGUAACUUCCCAGCUAACAAGUCCACCCAAAACACGGGCAGGUCAGUGCUGUGCUCAGGGAGCUGCAGAACACUGGACCAAACGACAGCUGGUACCUACCAUCGUUCUGGUUGAUGGAAGACUUGUUACCAGGGACCAGGGGGUUGACUGCUGUCAGGAUGAAUUUGGGAACUGCAGAGACAAAAGGUAAAUUGUGUUCGGUGAGUUUUAAGAGCCCUCUCCCCAGUUAAUUAUGAAUCCCACUGCUAACCCUGGGUUUGUUAACUGGGUUUCUGAGAGUGGAAUUGAAGGUUGGACUCACUCUUGGAGCUCUUUUCCAUGACUGUGUGGUUCGUGUGCAGCCAGGGCAGCUCUGGGCUGUGACUGGAGUCACACCCUGCCUGCUGCAGGAACAUCUCCAUGCAGCCUGGCAAGCUGCCCCUUGUCCUCAGCCCCCAGGGGUGUGCCAGCCAUGGAUGGAGACAAAACUGGCCUCUAAAUUCAGCACAAACUGGGCUACAGCCAAUGCUAAGUUGCAUCUAGAUACUGGGUUUGGAUGAGGAUAAUUCACUGUCAUUCUAAGAUAAAUGCUGAAGUUUUGUGUGAUGUCAUUUGUGAAGCUCUGAGAUGGACAGUUGCUGAGGAAGGUGGGGAGGAUGGGAAUCAAUGAGCUGCAUCUUUCUCAUUGCAUUAUUUUAUUCCCUUGAUAAGUGUCCGGUCUUCUCCAAGUAAUUAAAAGAACUACAAGGAGGUGCCUUGUAGAGACAUUGAGAGUUCCCAUAUUCUGUAAUGGAUGAGUGACCCCUUCAGCCACCCAGACCUUGGCACCUGUUCCUGUGCUAUGGGAAGGCUGAUUGAUUGAUUGAUUUUCAGACUGACAGGGGGGUAAAAAAGGGAGAAAUUUCAAGUAUGACACUCACCUCUAUCCCACAUAGAAACACUUGCCAAGAAAUAGUGUUGAGAGAGUUAAACGGAACAGAGGAGACUGGGGUUUGCAGCUUAGCAUAGUUUUCACUUGGAAAACAGCUAAAAAUAGCACUUCUUUCUGAGCACAACUUUUCUUUCUGUGUGGGCUCAAAGUCAGAGCUGCUUCCUUUCCUGAUGAAGGAAUCCUUCUGGGAGUCCUCGCUCCUGUUUGCAGUGGAGCCAACAGAUGCAGGGGUGCAUACGAAGGAUGCAGAAAGAGUCUCAUCAAGCCCCAAACAGGUGCCCAAUGUAAGGUCUCAAAGUUCCAUUCAGGAUGUGUUGGAAAAAAUGAGCACAUCCCUGUAGCUCUCCAUCUGUGCCAUCUCACAUCUAGAGGUGAAAUGCUGUUUCCAAGUCAGCCCUGGGUUACUGAGAUGACUCAACUGGAUAUCCAAGUUCAGUUCAAGUCAGCACCCCACACAGUGCAGCUUUCUGUGUAUGACAGAUGUUUGACUCCAAGCUUCUGAGGCCAGGGGCUCUGAAGGCCUGGAAUGUCAUUCCUGAGGAUUAAAGCAGUCCCUACAGUCAAGGAUGGCCUCCUGACACCUGCAACUGCAGAAGCUCCCCUGUGCCUCUGGAGGAAGGACAAACACUGCUUGCAGAGAUACGCCAAAGGUUCCCUGAAUCUGUGUGAAUAGAAGAGAAGGUUUGAGACUGAGUUCUUGCCGUUUAAUGUUUGAAAAUGGGGCAGAUGUGUGAUUUUUGGAGUAAACUCCCUGACACCAGUACUAAAUCAGUCCUAUACCUGGGCAGAGCCAUCAGAGACACUGGGCUGAUCUGUCUGGCAAGGGCUCGUGGGGUGCUUUGGACAUGGAUUUUAGGACAGAGCUCUUUGACUUUGCAGAGGCCUGAAAUCCCAAUAGCUGUGUGUCCCAAGAGAGUGCUGGGAAGGCAGGGAAGGGCUGACCUAAAGCAGUGAGUAGUUCUGAUUAACUAAACUCCGCAGUUUUAGUUUCCCUCCCUGGCAAUUCCAGAUGAGUAAGGAUAUAAUUGGAUGGAUGUUUUAGGCUUACUUUGGCAAGUACAAAACCAACUGGAGAGUAUCAGGAGGAGUUGUCAAUUGAUUAAUAAAUUCAUAGACUGGGAGCACAAAAGAAAACUGGCAAACUGAAUUAUGUUUUCUAUAGAAUUCCCUGCCCUGGGAGCUACUCUUGGUGCCCUAUAAAGCCAGGAGGAUGCUGUGCUGAUGGUUUUCUACAUAUUCAGUGAUAUGGCAGGUGUAUUUUUUCAUUUUGCCUUUGCUCAUGUUUCUGUGGGACUGAAUAGCCUCUUAUCAUCUCUAUCCAUGUUAGAUUUCUAUUUAUCAUUACAGCCUGCAGUUCUUGGCAGGCCAGCUUGGGAGAGCCCCCAAGGCUUGCCUGGUGUCACAGGUCAGUAAAUGCAAACCGGGGCUGCUUCUUCUGCAGGACAGGACACACGUUACCUGGAAAGUGUUAUAACUUAAUAAACUUAUUUAAAACUUC